AGAGUUUGAUCAUGGCUCAGAAUCAACGCUGGCGGCGCGCUUAACACAUGCAAGUCGCACGAGAAAGCAGGAGCAAUCUUGUGAGUAAAGUGGCGUACGGGUGAGUAACACGUGGAUCAUCUACCUUCUAGUGGGGAAUACCUCUGGGAAACUGGAGAUAAUUCCGCAUAAGCUCGUGAGAGGAAAGCCGAAAGGCGCUGGAAGAGGAGUCCGCGGCUGAUUAGCUAGAUGGCGGGGUAACGGCCCACCAUGGCGAAGAUCGGUAGCCGGCCUGAGAGGGCACACGGCCACACUGGCACUGAAACACGGGCCAGACUCCUACGGGAGGCAGCAGUGGGGAAUCUUGCACAAUGGAGGCAACUCUGAUGCAGCGACGCCGCGUGAGCGAUGAAGCCCUUCGGGGUGUAAAGCUCUUUCGACGGGAAAGAUGAUGACGGUACCCGGAGAAGAAGCUGCGGCUAACUACGUGCCAGCAGCCGCGGUAAUACGUAGGCAGCGAGCGUUGUUCGGAAUUACUGGGCGUAAAGAGUGUGUAGGCGGUGUUCCAAGUCUGGUGUGAAAUCUCCCGGCUUAACUGGGAGGGUGCGCCGGAAACUGGAAUGCUCGAGGGUGGGAGAGGUAAGCGGAAUUCCUGGUGUAGCGGUGAAAUGCGUAGAUAUCAGGAGGAACACCUGUGGUGUAGACAGCUUACUGGACCACUUCUGACGCUGAGACACGAAAGCGUGGGUAGCAAACAGGAUUAGAUACCCUAGUAGUCC
rnacentral:rRNA from 1 species